rnacentral:ncRNA from 2 species
UAGCAAAGCUAAGCGCCAUGCACCUGUAAGUACGAGCGUGAACGGUGAAAACCGGUACUGAAGGUUAACGAGGAGAAGAGUUUAUCGAAGAAUUCGGCGGAUGCUCUUCCAUGCCAUCCGGGCGUGUAUCCUGAACGAAAUAUGCGGGUAACCGCAAAACAAACGGACAGGAACCGGACUGA